GACGAACGCUGGCGGCGUGCCUAACACAUGCAAGUCGAACGGAAAGGCCCUUCGGGGUACUCGAGUGGCGAACGGGUGAGUAACACGUGGGUGAUCUGCCCUGCACUUUGGGAUAAGCCUGGGAAACUGGGUCUAAUACCGAAUAGGACCACGCGCUUCAUGGUGUGUGGUGGAAAGCUUUUGCGGUGUGGGAUGGGCCCGCGGCCUAUCAGCUUGUUGGUGGGGUAAUGGCCUACCAAGGCGACGACGGGUAGCCGGCCUGAGAGGGUGACCGGCCACACUGGGACUGAGAUACGGCCCAGACUCCUACGGGAGGCAGCAGUGGGGAAUAUUGCACAAUGGGCGCAAGCCUGAUGCAGCGACGCCGCGUGGGGGAUGACGGCCUUCGGGUUGUAAACCUCUUUCAAUAGGGACGAAGCGCAAGUGACGGUACCUAUAGAAGAAGCACCGGCCAACUACGUG
rnacentral:rRNA from 1 species